rnacentral:ncRNA from 1 species
UGCGAUAAAGGCAAACUCAGUGAGAGCUGAGGACGCAAAGCCACGGGUCUCCCACACCUUAGAGUGGAAGAUAGCCGGGUUACCGAAC